CCUAUUAAUGAGCUGCCUUCCCUGAUGUCAGGACUGAAACUUGAGAAACAAGUUUCUCUAAAAUCCCUGGAUCAUCUUAUGUUCUGGCAGUUUCUACCUGCUGUUAAUGAAGGACAAGUCAUCUCUUUCCAACUAGAUGAGUUUGACUCAUUUCAUCGACAACUAUUAUUCUGAGGCAAAAUCAGAGGAAAAGGAGAGGGAGUCCUUGAGAGGAAGAGAAUGUGCCAGGGAGCACAGAUUUCUUUAGCCCCAACAUGCAAAGGGAGAAUUUGAGCAAAAAGACUUCAAGCAUCUUGCAGAGGUGAUAGGCCUUUACACAAGACUUUAAACUCCUGCGGAUGUGGACUUGAACCAGCAUGAUCUAAUUAUUCUGGCCAUUGACUCCUCAUCAGUCUACAUGGUAGCCAUAAAUCCUGGA